GGGUAGACGCCGGAUGAACGGGUAUCAUUGAUGUUGAUAAUAAUAGAGUAAAACUCUUCUGCCUU
rnacentral:tRNA from 1 species